CUCUCUGCCUAAGCCUGCCCUCCGCCAGCCGGGUCCCCUCCCCACAGCACCACGGCUUCUCUUCCUCAGCAAGGCGACAGGGGCUUCCCCUUAGCCGCCGCCGCCGGCCAAGCUCCGCCGCGCCCGCGGCCCGCGGCCGCCAUGCAGUUUAUGUUGCUUUUUAGUCGUCAGGGAAAGCUUCGACUGCAGAAAUGGUAUGUCCCACUGUCAGACAAAGAGAAGAAAAAGAUCACCAGAGAACUUGUUCAGACCGUUUUAGCACGGAAACCUAAAAUGUGCAGCUUCCUUGAGUGGCGAGAUCUGAAGAUUGUUUACAAAAGAUAUGCUAGUCUGUAUUUUUGCUGUGCUAUUGAGGAUCAGGACAAUGAACUAAUUACCCUGGAAAUAAUUCAUCGUUAUGUGGAAUUACUUGACAAGUAUUUUGGCAGUGUCUGUGAACUAGAUAUCAUCUUUAAUUUUGAGAAGGCUUAUUUUAUUUUGGAUGAGUUUCUUUUGGGAGGGGAAGUUCAGGAAACAUCCAAGAAAAAUGUCCUUAAAGCAAUUGAGCAGGCCGAUCUACUGCAGGAGAAAACAGAGACUAUGUAUCACAGCAAGAGUUUCAUGGGGUAUAAGAAAGCGUACUAGAAUACGUGCCGGAGUACUGACAUGCAUCAAAAUGUAGUAGGAUAUAUAAAUUCAGUUUGUAAUUACAAUUUUGUCAAGUUUGUUAUUUACAUUUUGGCAUUACCUGAAAAGUCUAAUUACAUUAAGUCCCAAGGGAUAGUCCCAAUUACUUCAUUAAACUGAUAUUUUCAUAGGGAAUUUUACUUGGAUAAUUAUCCAUUAUUGGGGAUUACAAUUUAUUUUUUACACAGAAUAUGGAAAUAGGUUCAGAGGUUCAUUGACACAAAAAGCAUUCAUUAAAUACUGUGAAUCACUAAUGCCAUUGAUACAGAAGAAUUUCCCUAUGAAAGUGAGAGCUUCUAUAAGAAAAUGAAGUAGUUGGGAGUUUAAUUUCUUAUUAAUAUGAUUUUAACUUUCUGCUUCAUUCCACUAUAAUCUAUUCUGAGUGGGGAGGAAAGGGAAGCUAUCUCUUUAAAAUAUUUAGGAAUUCUUUGAGGAUUAAAAUGUAACUGGCUUUUGUCUUCAGAUACUUUUGUAUUUAAUGGGUGUGUAAGUUUAGGGAUUUGUUAGAUUUUUUUUUGAAACUGUUUACAUGAUUUUGUAGUUCAACAUUUCAAAGCUUCAACUUGAAUAAAUAUUAAAAAGAGGAUACUUUAAAGACACUCAAAUAAGCAAUUUUAAAAUUGCUUUCUGGGGGGGAUAUAAUCCGUUUGAGAGCCUGAAGGGUGAUGUGCCCUCUCCCCAGGAACAUUUGUACAUCAUUUUGUUUCUAAUUUCAGAGAAUUCUUGGAGCCCCUAGAAGUCCUUCUGUAGACACUCAAAUCUGUUUGGAGAGUUUGUUAAAAUCUGUCUUGAGGGUUUUUAAAAAAGUAAUAUCCUCAGUCUUAGUCACAUUCUUUGGAUUUUUUGCUUUUGUAGCUAUAAGUAAACUGUUAAAAAUCUUCAUUGCUACUUAAAAUACCAGCUGAGUGACUACUUUUCCACUCUUUAUUGGGAAGGAUUUUUCUCUAGGUUCUUUAGUUCAUGUAAUAAAAUUUUGAUGAAUUUAAACACUGGUGGAAGGGGAAUAUUCUAAUUGAAUUUUUGGUCAACUCAUUAUUGACCAGAUGACUUACACUGAAAAUCUUUUCAUAGUAUUAGUAGUAAAUAUAGUGUAUUAGGAUUUUGUAGAAAUUUUGGAGGAUGUCAGUGAUCCUUUUGACCACUAUAUAUAGGAAAGUUAGAAAAAAAUGAAUCUAAAUUCUUGGGCACUGUUUAGAAGUUAUAUAUUCAGCCUUACACCAAAGAACAAAAACAAACAGAAACUUAAGUUUUAGUUAUGUUCUAGAAAUCUGAUUGUGUCUAUGUCAGUUUGUAUACUGUGUGUAAGAAUAUAUGCAUUUCUUUUGUAGCCACGUCAUGAAUAUUUUAAUGUCCCUGUGUACUAAAUGACUACCCAUCAAGUAUGCAGAAUUUCACAGAGGAAAUAGAAUGCUGAUAUACAUAUGAAAGAAAAUAUCCUCAGCAUGGUGAUUUAUUAUCUUGUAUAAUUAUAUAGAAUAUUUCAGAACUAGUACUUUUAUGAUUGUAUUUUUUUCCUGUUCACAUUCCAAACUUUUCAGUUUUAUUUUCAUUCUAUAUGUGAUCUUGAUACAGCUGAUUCCUCUCUGAAACUGUUUUAAUCUCAUCUUGAUAAAAUAUGACCUAGUAGUGUUUUGAGUAAUAUUAAAUCUUAAACACAUACAUAUUAUCAUUAAUGAACCACCUAUGAUUAAUCUUACAAGAGGAAAACAUGACAAUCAUUAAAAUAUUUACCAAAGAUAAUGUAGCUGAAGUGCUAGGUCAAAAUGAGCAGUACCGUAAUACAUAGUAUGGUUUGGUCUUCAAAUAUUGAGGUUAAAAAAAGAAACUAUUUUGUGUGAAUAUCUUACAAUCUGUAUGAGCUAAUGUGUUCUAAUGUAUCACAUAAAAGUAAAUGUGAAAAUACAAGAAACUAAAAUUAAUUUGUGCUAUUAUAUAUUCAAGGUUAAAACAUUCAGUCUUAGCAAAUUUUGUAGUGCUACAUUUAUUGAAUCACACUUGUGCUGUAUAAUAUCAAACAAUCCCUUUAAGAACUUAUUAGAGAGCUAUGUCUGAAAAGUCUGUUCUGCAGUAUCUGUUGCUUAACAACUCUUUCAAAGCAUUAAUGCUGAGUUUAUAUAGUUCAAAAAUUUUAAUAGUCAGUUUUAAUACCUAAAUACUUAUAUUUUACUAGUGAUGGCAUUCUAAUAUAUUAAGUCCUUGUUUAAAUACUUAAUGCUUUGUUAACUGUGGCAUUAUAUUUCUGAAUUUUAAAACCUUUAAUAUUGAUAACUAUUGCAUAUUCUUUUAAUAAAACAUGCAGCAUAUUUUAUUACAAAAGGAAAACAAUUCAUUGUUUAUAUCUAGAGAGCGUAAAGCCUGAGUUAAGUAAGUUAUUAAACAAUAACUUCACAAGAUGUUCAAACUGAUUUACCACUGAAGAAGAUGUAUGAAAAUCUAUUUUGAUCACACUUAGCAUUAGGCAGGUAUACAGAUAAGAUUUUCCAUUCUUAACAUUCUCACUGUAAUGCACUACAUUUGAAGCACCUGGAUGUGCAAUCAAAUGGGAAAUUUAGCACCAUACAUUGGAAGCAUUGAAACACAUUGGUCUUUCAUUUCCAUUUUUCCCCUCCAUUCCUCCUCCUGCCCCACAAUAUGUUAUUCAUCUGGUUUUAAUGCUACAUAAAUAUACAUUGUCUCAUGCCUGUUUGUGUUGGAUGCCUUGUGCUAAGCUGUAACAAAAUGUUGCUUCUUUUGCUAUCUGUAUACAGCUGCUUGCUUUAAAUUAGUAGAUUCUGAAAUAACUUUCCUUGCAUGUCUAAAAUAAAAGUAUUGCAUGUACUUCGUCUCAUGUGAAUGACUUUUUUCUUCUGCAUCCCUCAUAACUUGUUAUAUUUUCAUUUUUCCAGGCAAAUUUUAAAAAUUGUGGUUAAAAACACAUAACACAGAAUUCACCAUCUUAUGCAGUUUUAAGUGUACAGUUCGGUUGUGUUAAGUAUAUUCACAUUGUUGUGCAGCAGAUCUCCAGAACUUUUUUGUCUUGCAAAACUGAAACUCUAUACCCAUUAAUCAACAAUUCCCCAUUUCUCCCUCUCCCUCAGCCCCUGGUAACCACCAUUUGACUUUUUGUUUCUAUAAAUUUUACUACUUUAGAUAAUAGCUUUUCUGGCUAAUUUUGAGCUACAGUUUCAGUGUGAAUAUAUGAAAGUUCCAUUUUAUAUUAUCAACACAUUUUAUUUUUAAACUCUCUGUACAAGUCUCACAAGAAUAAAAUGUGUAAAGAAUUCUUUGAGGCCGGGCGUGGUGGCUCAAGCCUGUAAUCCCAGCACUUUGGGAGGCCGAGGCGGGUGGAUCAGGAGGUCAACAGAUCGAGACCAUCCUGGUCAACAUGGUGAAACCCCGUCUCUACUAAAAAUACAAAAAAUUAGCUGGGCAUGGUGGUGCGUGCCUGUAAUCCCAGCUACUCAGGAGGCUGAGGCAGGAGAAUUGCCUGAACCCAGGAGAUGGAGGUUGCGGUGAGCCGAGAUCGCGCCAUUGCACUCCAGCCUGGGUAAUAAGAGCGAAACUCCGUCUCAAAAAAAAAAAAAAGAAUUCUUUGAAACUAGGCCUUUUAGAAAGGACAAAUAUUUUCAAUAAUGCAUGUUUGAUAAGCAAUAUGAUUGUCUUCAGGAAAUGCUAUAUAAGAUUGCAGGCAGUGAGCACAUGGGGAAAAGUCUGACCAGCUCCAAGCAGUAGUUGUGGGACAUUUUUACAUGGAUAAGCUGAGUAUGUAAACUGUGUAGAAUUCAAUGUAGGCAUCCUUUAAUACAUUAAAGGCCACAUGAACUUUUAAACUAUUUAACAUUACAUGGAAAUAAUUAUUUUAAAUUUUUCUUUAAUGUUUAUGUGAUUUAGAUGUCAAAUACUGUUUCCCCAAACACUUCCCCCAUUUUUGCCUCAGUAUUUUAGAGCAAGCCCUAGACAUUCUGUCAUUUUGUCUUUAAUAUUUCAGUAUGUGUCCCUAACAGAUAUGUACCACACCGAACAAAAUUAACAGCAAUUAAUAAUUAACAUCUUGUGCCUGGCUCAGUUUUUCCUAAUUGUCUAAAAAAUGCCUUUUUAUAUUUGAUUUGUUAGAAUCAGUUUCCAACCAAGACUCUCACGUUGUAUCUGGCUGAUGUGUCUUUUAAGUCUCUUUUAAUCUUUAACAAGUCUUCUGCUUUUUCCCCCCCUUGCCAUUUUUUUUAAACCAGGUUAUUUAUGCUGUAGAACAUCGUACCCUAUGGAUUUGGCCAUUGUAUUCAUGUGGCAAUAUUUAGCUUGUUCUUUUAUCCCUCAUCUCUAUUUAGAUCUGUAACCUGAUUAGAUUGAGGUUCAAUUUGAGGGGGCAAGAAUACUUCAUAGGUUAGACUCUUUUUAAAAAAAAUACCUUUUUUCACUAAAGCUAAUUUUUACCCAUUUUUCAUUACUACGCAGACAUACUAAAAGGUCAUGAGCUUUAUAAAUAGAAUUGGUUUAUAGUACUUGCAUUUAGUACUAAAUGCUAAAUACCUUCAUUUAGAUUUCAAGUGUUUAACUAUAUCACCUAACAUUUUUGGAGCACUUUCUAUAAAUUAGGCAGAGCCUUAACUCACUUAAUCUCAACAUAUGAAGGUAAGUGCUAUUACCCAUAUUUUCCAAAUAAGGAAACAGACAAUAGAGUUUAAUUUACUUAGAUUACACCAUGAAGUGCUUUACAUGCAAUUAAUAUUCUAAAGAUUUAUGGUUUAAUAUAAUUUCUCUUCUUGUUUUGUGCUGUACCAUGAUUAGGAUGCAAAAGAAGCUGAAACCCCACGUAGUGUUCUUGAAGAAAUUGGACUGACAUAACUCUCCUCCCUUGAUGACUUCUUGUGGCAUUUCACACACUGUAGAUGGUCACUCCCUUCAUGUCCAUGUUAGUUAAUGGUGUAAGAUGAUGUCUUGUCAGUGUUACUGUUUUGCUAAGCUGCUUCAUUCAUGCCUACACAAUUUUUUUUAAAGGGAACUUUAGUUAAUCAAGUGAUAAGGGACUUAAAUAUGAAUUAGAAUGGUAGCAGAAAAAGGUACCUUUUCUGGAUAUUUUAAAGUUUAGAGGUCAGUUUCUCUUAAUCUGAUUAUGUGCACAUAUGAAAAUGGCACAUAUACAUGUAAAAUCAGGCAGUAUACAUUUAUUAAUUACUGUAUUUGACAAAGGAAACAAAUUAUAAUGUGAAACCUGGUUUUAUGAAACCAAAGAUUAGUGCAGCAUUUCGGUAUAUAUAAAAAAAAAAAAAAAAAAGAAAGGGAAUUACAUGUCACAUAUCAAAUGAAUGGAGACUUAACUUUGUUGAACUUUAAAAAGCAAAUUUACUCCAAAAACUCCUAUUGGAAAUCACAUACCUUUGAAAAAUAAAAGGGAAUAUUUUCAAAAAUAAAGGGAAUUAUUUUUAAUGACUUAAUUGGAAUGAUACUUUUACACUAAAAAUUAUUUCUUAGGCAUUCUGAAUCUGGGAUGAGAAACAGGAUUGUUUCAUAAUAGUAAGCACAUAAUUUUUAAGGCCAAGGCACAUAUGACUCCUGAGAUGAAAUUUUUUGUGGUCAUAAUGACAUAUGUAGUUGUUUUUGAUGCCCAAAAUAAAGUGAGAAUGUUAAUUUGCCAGGAAUUCUUCUUAACAGUGUCUUACAGAAAACAUGUUGCUCUCUUCACAGUGUUAUGUGUAAAGUCAUUGUUUAAAGCACGAAUGUUCCUUCUGGGAUGCUUGUUAAUGCCAAAUUUAUUUUGCUUCCCUAUUUGCUUCCCUCCACUUAGAAGUGCUGCAAACUUUACCGCAGCUUCCUUUCUUUCUGGCACUGCCUAGUUAACAGAAGUCUUAUAAAAAUUUAAAGACAUGUUUCAUAUAAAAAAGUGAGAGUUGAAUGAGGUAAAAUGGCAUUAGUUGGCCCUAUAUUUUUUAAAGCUAUAUAAUUGUUCAGCGUCACUUUUCUAAGUACUUACACAUAUCUAAACAUGUCUUCAUGGUUUAUACUUUCACUUGUAUAUGCUGGGCUGGAUUAAGCUUUGUUGUGAUUGUGACCAAUAUUCAGGCCACGUGAGCACUGUCUUAUCACUUUGCCAAUUAGUUGAAAUAAACGUUCAAUGUACAAAUACUGGAGUGUGUUUUUAUCUCUUUCCAAAAGUUUGUCAAACUAUGGAGAGCUGCUGAAGAAAGAAUUUCUUAAUUUUUUUUCAGUAAAAUAUUGAAAAUUCCCCUCCAUUUGAAUAUGGUGGUUGUUAUAAGCACACACAAGAUACAUGGUGGAAGAUCGAAGGAGUCUUCAUGUACUUCAUUAAAUAACAUGGAUUCCAUGCUGUUGUGAGCUUAUCUACACAUUUAUUUUCAAUCAAUAAAUGCUGCUUUUAAAACCUUGA